rnacentral:rRNA from 1 species
GACGAACGCUGGCGGCGUGCUUAACACAUGCAAGUCGAACGGAAAGGCCCUGCUUUUGUGGGGUGCUCGAGUGGCGAACGGGUGAGUAACACGUGAGUAACCUGCCCUUGACUUUGGGAUAACUUCAGGAAACUGGGGCUAAUACCGGAUAGGAGCUCCUGCUGCAUGGUGGGGGUUGGAAAGUUUCGGCGGUUGGGGAUGGACUCGCGGCUUAUCAGCUGGUUGGUGGGGUAGUGGCUUACCAAGGCUUUGACGGGUAGCCGGCCUGAGAGGGCGACCGGCCACAUUGGGACUGAGAUACGGCCCAGACUCCUACGGGAGGCAGCAGUGGGGAAUAUUGCACAAUGGGCGGAAGCCUGAUGCAGCAACGCCGCGUGCGGGAUGACGGCCUUCGGGUUGUAAACCGCUUUCGCCUGUGACGAAGCGUGAGUGACGGUAAUGGGUAAAGAAGCACCGGCUAACUACGUG